CAAGUACUCCCUCCGUCUGGAAUAACUUCUCAUCAAAAUGGAUGUGUCUAGAACUAAAAUACAUCUAGAUACAUCCAUUUCAAUGACAAGUAUUUUCGGACGGAAGGAGUAUAAG
rfam:Triticum aestivum genome assembly, contig: Triticum_aestivum_CS42_TGACv1_scaffold_379154_5AL